rnacentral:rRNA from 1 species
UACGUAGGGGGCAAGCGUUGUCCGGAAUCAUUGGGCGUAAAGAGCGUGUAGGCGGUUCAGUAAGUCUGCUGUAAAAGUCCAAGGCUCAACCUUGGGAUGCCGGUGGAUACUGCUGAGCUAGAGUACGGAAGAGGCGAGUGGAAUUCCCGGUGUAGCGGUGAAAUGCGCAGAUAUCGGGAGGAACACCUAUUGCGAAGGCAGCUCGCUGGGACGUCACUGACGCUGAGACGCGAAAGCGUGGGGAGCAAACAGG